GUGAAAUCAAUGGGUAAUCACAUGGACAAGACUGACUAGGGACAGAAACAAACUCAAACCAUGAUACAAGGGAAUUUAAUUGGUUUUAAAGAGUCUGUCAUCCCUUCCUCAACCCCCACCUGCUCGCACCCCCACCCUCCGGACCCACAGGAGAUGAUAAGGUGAUGUCAUACCUCCGUUUCCUGAGGAUGCUCUCCACAAAGAAGCAAUCAUCGUUGAGUGCCUCCUGCAAUGCAAAGGGAGGAGCCCGCUUAUCCAUGAGAACACUUCACUUGAAUUGAAUGUCUUACGGAGGUAAUAGUUUCAUGUGACAAGUCUGACAUACAUCAACAGAAAUAAAUAAAAUAAAUGUAAGCAAUCUGGUGCACAUCAGAUUCUUUCCAGUGCACACCAGAAACUAUCUGGUAAACAUUAGCAUUAUAUAGCAUUUAAGAUAGCCAACUUUUGCUAUGCAAGUUUGCCAGUUGCUGUAAACAUUAGCAAUAUAUAGCAUUUACGCUAGCGGUCUUUUGACAUGCAAGUCAGCCAAUUGCAACAAUGUUUACCAGAUAGUUUUUAGUGCGCACCAGAUUAUUUUUGUGGGGAAAAAAAUGCACACGCACUAUUUUACUGUAUAUAUUGAAAUCAAUAUGCUUCUCGGCUAAUGCGAUCUUCUGAUAUGUUCGCAAGCUUGACCAGUUGUUUUUCCACUGAAACUGCUGAUAGUUAGUUUUGCCUCAGACGAUCAUGGACUUUUAACUGCUAACGCAACAAGGCUCAUGACCUAUUUUGCAAGGUUUGUAAGAUGAGUUAAUCACCAAAUGUUCUAAGACACACCUCCUUAUCUGUACCCUAUAUAAGGAAG